rnacentral:rRNA from 1 species
UACGUAGGGGGCAAGCGUUGUCCGGAAUUAUUGGGCGUAAAGAGCGUGUAGGCGGUCCGGUAAGUCAGCUGUGAAAGUCAAGGGCUCAACCCUUGAAAGCCGGUUGAUACUGUCGGGCUAGAGUCCGGAAGAGGCGAGUGGAAUUCCCGGUGUAGCGGUGAAAUGCGCAGAUAUCGGGAGGAACACCAAUGGCGAAGGCAGCUCGCUGGGACGGUACUGACACUGAGACGCGAAAGCGUGGGGAGCAAACAGG